AAGAUUUUUCUUUAUUUGUUACCAAUACAUGUCCGUAAAAUUUCACAGGUGCUAAUAUUCUACGUUGAGUUACAUGUCAAAUUAUCACAAUUUCUUACCAAUAAAAGAUUUCAUAUGAGUCCAAUUUAAAAGAAGGUACGUGUAUACAAAAAUAGAAGUCAUGCAAAAAGCUAAUGAUGAAUAAUUUUAAUUAAGAAUUAUUGUUCACUAUUGCGGCUGCUUGUUUGAGAUAUACAGUAAGGCUCAGUACUACGGGUGUGAUCGCAGAAUAUAUUUUUGACCCUGUAUACAUGUUGUAUUUGAAGAUAUGUAUAUACACAACAUUAUGUAUAUG